ACAGAUGAGACUGUUGCCCGGAAGAAGGUGCGGAUGGACAAAGAGAAAGACGGCUUUCCCACCAGCAGCCUGAGUGAGAUUAUACUGCUCUUGCGUCUUCUUCAUCCCAACAUUGUGGAACUGAAGGAGGUGGUUGUGGGCAACCACCAGGAGAGCAUCUUCCUGGUGAUGGGUUACUGUGAGCAAGAUCUGGCUAGCCUCCUGGAGAACAUGCCAACACCCUUUUCUGAGGCCCGGGUUAAAUGCAUCAUGCUACAGGUGCUUCGGGGCCUUCAGUACCUGCACAGGAACUUCAUCAUCCACGGGGACCUGAAGGUAUCCAACUUGCUCAUGGCGGAUAAGGGCUGUGUACAGACAGCGGAUUUGGGCCUGGCUUGGGCCUAUGGUGUCCCAGUAAAGCCAAUGACCCUCCAAGGUUGUUACCCUCUGGUACCAAGCCCCAGAGCUGCUGCUGGGACUCUACCAGACUACCAGUGUUGACAUGUGGGCCGUUGGCUGCAUCCUGUCAGAGCUGCUGGUCCAUAAGCCCCUUCUCCCUGGCACUUCCGAGAUCCACCAGAUUGACUUGAUCGUACAGCUCCUGGGGACACCCAGUGAGAAUAUCUGGCGGGGCUUCUCCAAGCUGAGGCUGGCGGGCCAGUACAGCUUGAGGAAACAGCCUUACAACAAUCUCAAGCACAAGUUCCGUGGCUCUCAGAGGCUGAACUUCGUCUGCUCAGUUUCCUCUUCAUGUAUGACCCUAAGAAACGGGCAACAACAGGGGACUGCCUGGAGAGCUCCUACUUCAAGGAGAAGCCCCUACCCUGUGAACCAGAGCUCAUGCCUACCUUCCCCCACCACCGCAAUAAGCAUGCUGCCCCAGCUGUCGUGGAAGGGCAGAGCAAACGAUGUAAGUCCUGA